UGGGGAAUAUUAGACAAUGGGCGAAAGCCUGAUCCAGCAAUGCCGCGUGAGUGAUGAAGGCCUUAGGGUUGUAAAGCUCUUUUACCCGGGAUGAUAAUGACAGUACCGGGAGAAUAAGCCCCGGCUAACUCCGUGCCAGCAGCCGCGGUAAUACGGAGGGGGCUAGCGUUGUUCGGAAUUACUGGGCGUAAAGCGCGCGUAGGCGGUUCUUCAAGUCAGAGGUGAAAGCCCGGUGCUCAACACCGGAAUUGCCUUUGAGACUAGGGAACUUGAAUCCAGGAGAGGUGAGUGGAAUUCCGAGUGUAGAGGUGAAAUUCGUAGAUAUUCGGAAGAACACCAGUGGCGAAGGCGACUCACUGGACACAUAUUGACGCUGAGGUGCGAAAGCGUGGGGAGCAAA
rnacentral:rRNA from 1 species